CCCUUAGAUGUCCUGGGCCGCACGCGCGCUACACUGAGUGGAUCAGCGGGUCAGGUUGCGCGAAAGUGUUUCCUAAUCUUUAAAUCCGCUCGUGAUGGGGAUUGACGGUUGCAAUUUUCCGUCAUGAACGAGGAAUACCUUGUAAGCGCGGGUCAUCAUCCCGCGCUGAAUACGUCCCUGCCCUUUGUACACACCGCCCGUCGCUCCUACCGAUUGAGUGGUCCGGUGAGGCUUUGGGAUCUGAGCGGAAAGAGCGUUUCGCUGUUUCUGCCCGGAAAACUCAGUCGAACCUUAUCAUUUAGAGGAAGGAGAAGUCGUAACA
rnacentral:rRNA from 1 species